rnacentral:rRNA from 1 species
GGGAUGAUAAUGACAGUACCUGGUAAAGAAACCCCGGCUAACUCCGUGCCAGCAGCCGCGGUAAUACGGAGGGGGUUAGCGUUGUUCGGAAUUACUGGGCGUAAAGCGCACGUAGGCGGACUGGAAAGUUGGGGGUGAAAUCCCGGGGCUCAACCUCGGAACUGCCUUCGAAACUGCUAGUCUAGAGUUCGAGAGAGGUGAGUGGAAUUCCGAGUGUAGAGGUGAAAUUCGUAGAUAUUCGGAGGAACACCAGUGGCGAAGGCGGCUCACUGGCUCGAUACUGACGCUGAGGUGCGAAAGUGUGGGGAGCAAACAGGAUUAGAUACCCUGGUAGUCCACACCGUAAACGAUGAAUGCCAGUCGUCGGCAAGCAUGCUUGUCGGUGACACACCUAACGGAUUAAGCAUUCCGCCU